rnacentral:rRNA from 1 species
GGGUGAGUAACGCGUAAGAACCUGCCCUUGGGAGGGGAACAACAACUGGAAACGGUUGCUAAUACCCCGUAGGCUGAGGAGCAAAAGGAGAAAUCCGCCCAAGGAGGGGCUCGCGUCUGAUUAGCUAGUUGAUGAGGCAAUAGCUUACCAAGGCGAUGAUCAGUAGCUGGUCCGAGAGGAUGAUCAGCCACACUGGGACUGAGACACGGCCCAGACUCCUACGGGAGGCAGCAGUGGGGAAUUUUCCGCAAUGGGCGAAAGCCUGACGGAGCAAUGCCGCGUGGAGGUGGAAGGCCUACGGGUCGUCAACUUCUUUUCUCGGAGAAGAAACAAUGACGGUAUCUGAGGAAUAAGCAUCGGCUAACUCUGUGCCAGCAGCCGCGGUAAU